GACGAACGCUGGCGGCGUGCUUAACACAUGCAAGUCGAGCGGAGCGGCGAAGGGGUGAGUAACGCGUGAGUAACUGCCCCCCUCCUUGGGAUAACAGUUGGAAACGGCUGCUAAUACCGGAUAUUGGGGGAUGACUCGCGUCCUAUCGGCUUGUUGGUGGGGUAGUGGCCGACCAAGGCGACGCCGGGUAGCCGGCCUGGGGGGGGGACCGGCCACAUUGGGCUGAGAGACGGCCCAAACUCCUACGGGAGGCAGCAGUGGGGAGUAUUGCACAAUGGUGGAAACCCUGAUGCAGCAACGCCGCGUGCGGGAGGACGGCCUUCGGGUUGUAAACCGCUUUCAGCCAUGACGCGGUAGUGGCAGAAGAAGCACCGGCUAACUACGUGCCAGCAGCCGCGGUAAUUC
rnacentral:rRNA from 1 species